rnacentral:rRNA from 1 species
GAUGAACGCUGGCGGCGUGCCUAAUACAUGCAAGUCGAGCGAACAGACGAGGAGCUUGCUCCUCUGACGUUAGCGGCGGACGGGUGAGUAACACGUGGAUAACCUACCUAUAAGACUGGGAUAACUUCGGGAAACCGGAGCUAAUACCGGAUAAUAUAUUGAACCGCAUGGUUCAAUAGUGGAAGACGGUUUUGCUGUCACUUAUAGAUGGAUCCGCGCCGCAUUAGCUAGUUGGUAAGGUAACGGCUUACCAAGGCAACGAUGCGUAGCCGACCUGAGAGGGUGAUCGGCCACACUGGAACUGAGACACGGUCCAGACUCCUACGGGAGGCAGCAGUAGGGAAUCUUCCGCAAUGGGCGAAAGCCUGACGGAGCAACGCCGCGUGAGUGAUGAAGGUCUUCGGAUCGUAAAACGCUGUUAUUAGGGAAGAACAAAUGUGUAAGUAACUAUGCACGUCUUGACGGUACCUAAUCAGAAAGCCACGGCUAACUACGU